AGUGAACGCUGGCGGUAGGCCUAACACAUGCAAGUCGAACGGCAGCACAGUAAGAGCUUGCUCUUACGGGUGGCGAGUGGCGGACGGGUGAGGAAUACAUCGGAAUCUACUUUUUCGUGGGGGAUAACGUAGGGAAACUUACGCUAAUACCGCAUACGACCUACGGGUGAAAGCAGGGGAUCUUCGGACCUUGCGCGAUUGAAUGAGCCGAUGUCGGAUUAGCUAGUUGGCGGGGUAAAGGCCCACCAAGGCGACGAUCCGUAGCUGGUCUGAGAGGAGGAUCGGCCACACUGGAACUGAGACACGGUCCAGACUCCUACGGGAGGAAGCAGUGGGAAAUAUUGGACAAUGGGCGCAAGCCUGAUCCAGCCAUACCGCGUGGGUGAAGAAGGCCUUCGGGUUGUAAAGCCCUUUUGUUGGGAAAGAAAAGCAGCAGGUUAAUACCCCGCUGUUCGGACGGUACCCAAAGAAUAAGCACCGGCUAACUUCGU
rnacentral:rRNA from 1 species